CGAGACGUCGUCGUGUCACGCGCCGCGCCGCCGCCACACGCCACUCCAACGUGGUGGUGAGUGUGUGUGAGUGGUGUGUUUUUUAUUCUUUUAUUAUUUUUUUUUCUGCUAAAAAGUGUGCGAAAGUUUUUUCACUGGAAAAACUUUUUGCUAAACUCAAACAAAAUUCAAUAAACGACAAGCAGAAGAAAACGUGUCGUGCCAUCAGAAAAGUGCUGCUUUGAUGAACACUUUUGAAUAAUUUAAUGACUCGCAACCAGUUUUCGAAGACUAAGAAGAUUAUAAAAUAUACAAGUUUCCGACGAUUACCGACAAGAACACCAGACGCAAUCUCCCGAGCGGCGGCGCGUUGCCGAGAUGAAAUUUCUUGCGCGAUGAAUAAAUAAACGCCGCCAACCGAGAAGGAGAUGCUGAAAUGUUGAAAAUCUAAAAAUUUUCUGAUGUGAUUGAACAUAUACGGAUAGUCAAAGCAUUAAGGUGUACGUACGGCUAUGGAGGCAUUGCUGCGACUCUUCGGACGUGGCACGUGGAAAUUCCUACCGAGGAGGUCGGCCUUGUCCUCCUCCUCACUGGAGCUGGAGUUGUCCAGUGGGCGCAUGCCAUGGACACUGGCGGCU